GAUGAACGCUGGCGGCGUGCCUAAUACAUGCAAGUCGAGCGAACGGACGAGAAGCUUGCUUCUCUGAUGUUAGCGGCGGACGGGUGAGUAACACGUGGAUAACCUACCUAUAAGACUGGGAUAACUUCGGGAAACCGGAGCUAAUACCGGAUAAUAUUUUGAACCGCAUGGUUCAAAAGUGAAAGACGGUCUUGCUGUCACUUAUAGCUGGUUCCGCGCUGCAUUAGCUAGUUGGUAAGGUAACGGCUUACCAAGGCAACGAUGCAUAGCCGACGUGAGAGGGUGGUCGGCCGCACGGGAACUGAAACACGGUCCAGACUCCUACGGGAGGCAGCAGUAGGGAAUCUUCCGCAAUGGGGGAAAGCCUGACGGAGCAACGCCGCGUGAGUGAUGAAGGUCUUCGGAUCGUAAAACUCUGUUAUUAGGGAAGAACAUAUGUGUAAGUAACUGUGCACAUCUUGACGGUACCUAAUCAGAAAGCCACGGCUAACUACGUG
rnacentral:rRNA from 1 species